UUUAAACACAAUGUUUUCGCGAGCUACAAACACACGCACGCACGUUUCAAUUUCCACGUAAUUUACGGAUUUGAAAUGUUUAUAGACUGCGGGAAUAGAUUUUUGCUUCAGGAACUGCAACAAAGCUUCUCUAGCGGCGGCGUCUCUGUGGGGCUCGGCGGUUGGUCACCCGCGCGGCUGCCUGCAGGAUGAAGCCCUUUAGCGGCAUGGCUUGCCGUCUUACUCCCGCUGACUCCGACUCGCGGAAAUCCGCGAAUAUCGCCACUACAAAUAGCAGAUUCUCAUGUUCCCACCACUGUACUCUAAAUACGUUCCGGCAGUGGGAAUAAAAAGACGCAUGGCUGCUGUCUGUCUUGGCGACCUGUUGUCUGCUUUGAGGACCAUCAAGCUGAGGGCAGUGAAGCCACAUGACCCGGCCCACCCCCCAGAAAUCCACUGAAUUAUGUUGGGCCAAAGUUACCGUUGGGCCAUGUCUUGCAUCCCAGUGAGUGGAGUGGCAAGGAGCUUCACGCAUGGACAGGUGGGGCCGGCAGAGAUGAAUGUCUAUAAUGAAUGUGACGGGAUAUAGAUGUGAGAUGAGCUCUGGUUUUGAUCAUCAGGUAAAAAUAGAUCAGUCACAGGCAGAUCAUUACUGAUAAUUACUUCCAAGUGAUUGGCCGUAUAAGGCUCUAUUCCUCAUGAUGAACUCUUCCAGGCCUUGCGCACUGUGGGGCUCACAUGCGUACGUGUCCACGUCAAAGCAGCGCCACAUGAACGAUGGGCAGAGUGGGAUGUGUUAUUAAUUAUUUCCCCCUUUUUGCCAGUGUUGUCAGGUUGAGAAAUUUGAUUUUAGUAUUCAUCAAACAGCAGAAGCUUUCAUAUGCAUAUGAUAUGAUUAAGAAAGCCUCUCAUCUGAUUCCACACACUCACCUGUGCAUGUGUGUGUGUGCCCUUUUCUGAUUAUCUAAUAAAAAACAGGGAAGGAGCUGCAGGAGGUGGGAGGCUUUUUACACUUUUACAUGCGCUCAUCUAAAAAAACAGCCUAUGAAUGAACGUGCCUUGCUUAGUGACACUCUAGUGGCUAGGAGAAGGUGGUUAAGGAUAUAUCAAUUUCUCAGCCAUUUAUUCUGUGUUCAUAUUCUUAAAUUAGAAUUCAAUUCGCCUUAAUUAACGUUAAAAUUGAACCUUAAUCCCCGAAUUUUACAAAUUACAGAUUAUUAAAUUGAAACAAAAAUAAUGAACAACAUAAGAGUUAACUGCUGAAAACAACAGGCAUGAAAAGAGGGAUUUCUCCAACACAAACAGCUGUUAAAUGAAAUGGACCCAAGCUUUAUGGAAUGGAUCAGUACGUUGUUGUGUGGGAGCGAGCAAGCGAGCGAAUGAGUGAGCGAGUGAGGGAGCACACCCUUUUUUUUUCUUUUUUUCUUCCACCUAUCCACAGGCCUCAUUUAUUAUGCAAGCAGAGACCACUGGGCUGGAUGGGGAAGCUUGCAGGAUUUGUUGUGGAAGUUGGGAAGAAGGAAAGAAAGAGAGAGAGAGUGUGUGUGUGGGGGGCACACACACUCACAUUAGAAGCCCACAAGAGCAUGAAUGGACAAAGAAACACGCAAAAAGCUGAUCCUCACGUGCAAUCACACACGCACGUACGAGAGAGGCAUGAAGACCACAGAGCGAGACGUAAUCAUUGUGACUGUUUGAAAUAUUAGAAUAAUAACAGAUGGUUGUAAAUGUUUUAGUGGUUCUAAACAGGUGUGUGUGCAUGUGUGUUAAAGGAUCCAUCGGCUGGUGUGUGUCAUGUGAUGUGUAACUAAAGCCAGACUGAAAAAUGCACACAAAGUAUAGGCUCAUACUUUGUUUUCUUACAUCACAGACAUCUGACAGCAAGCUGUGCUAGUCUUUUUGAGAGAUGACAUCGUACACACUAUUAAGCAUAUUAGGUUCUUGUUGCAACUGUUGCAAAAAAUCCUCAUUAUAAGGAAAAAAAACAUCUUGUUUAUUCCGAUUAGUCCAUUUUUAACGUCAUCUGUUGGUGAACUCAUCAGAUUCUUUGUAAUUAUUGUAUUUAUUGUUUUUAAUAUUUCAGCCAUUUUACACAAUCAUGUUCUUCAUGAUGUUUACAUUUUAGAAAUGGCGCUCGACUGUGAUGCAUUGCAAAAUUGCCACUUUUGAGGCCAAAUAUAAAAAAAAGGAUGCGAUUAGCACCCCUGCACAGUACUAUGACAAAAUACCAGAACACAUGGCAAGACAGUAAAUUGGAACAAAUAGAUGGCGCCACCUCUUUCUUUGAGAAGGGAAGUUUUUCAUAUAAAGAACACAAGUCUCCAUUAGUCGCCCUCGUUCCCAAGCUGUUGACACUUAUUAGCAGCGCCGUUCUUCAAGCUAAUCUUUUAAAAGUCCCAUGGUGACAUUGGAAAUGGCCGGAGGAGA